CACAACCUCACAGAUUUGACCGUUUUAUUAUAAAGACAACAAAAAGAGACUUUUCUGUCUUUACAUUAAAUAACUGAAUUUUUCAGUGUAAUAUUUAUCUUUUUCUUCCUGACUUUGCUGUAAAGCUGAUGGAAAUAGGCAGUGGUUGGACCUUCUGGGUGGACGCUUCUGGCCCACAGGCCUUAUGUUUGCCACCCCUGCUCUAAAGCUUAUGAAGCUAGAUUAGCUGCAUCAUGAAGGUUCGCUGUGACAGCUGGUGUUUGUUUGUGCGGCGUCUCACUGGGACACAAACACUCGGCUCAGGUUUAAAACGGUUUUUAUUAAAGCAACAACAAAAAGAAGCGAGGUUGGCGUGAGAGCGUCGUCAGCAGAGACCGGCACGGUCAUCAGGGCUGCUCAGGUCCUCGAGCGGGGAAUUGGUGAGCAGCCUUUCAUCCUCUCUGCUGACGCUCUGAGACGUGAGGAAGGAGGAGCCGAAAGAGCGCCGAGAGCCGGAAGCAGAAAGAGGUCGAGGUCAGAGCCAGUUUGGGACGGCGUCUGAUUGGGAUGCUUUUUGGACCUCCCUGCCCUCCAGCUCUCGGCUUACUUUCAGGACCCGCAGUUCUCCUUCGGCAGCACGUCGACGUCCUGCUCUGUGGGCGGGGUCAUCAGGGCGGGUUCGCUGCUCAUCCUGUCACCCUUGCGAGCUGCGGAGACGGAGAAAGAUUGAGAACAGGAAAGAGUUUAUUUAAAAUGGAAGAACUUCCUGUCUGACACUGUUCUAACUUUAGAGGCUUUUAUUCUGUAAAAACUUCAGAGUCACAGCAACACAAAGACGCCGCAGCCUGAAGCUCCUCCAGCAUCACGCUUCACGCGGUCGUAGCUCUGAUGUCUCUGUUCUCCUCACACAGGUGUGCUCAGGUGAGUCCAGCUCUCCUCCUGUGCUGGACGGUUUGUCUGUGAGUCCAGGUGAUUCUGCUGCUCAGCCGUCAGAAGGAAGCGCAUCGCUAUCAGACUCACGAAAGCGCAGAGUGUCGGCCCUGCAGAGGAAACUGCAGCUCUGAGCUGGAGGACGCUCUGCAGCUCCACAGCACAGAAACAGGAGUUUCUUUGUGUCUGCAGGUCAAAGGUCACGGUUCUGCUGAAGUGGAGUCGAAGCUCCACACAGGCUGCCCCUCUGGGAGUAGUGUCACGUAGACAUGGAGCUGCGAGGACUGCAGGACUGGAGCUGCUGGUCCAAACCUCAAACGUCCACGUGACGCACCAAACAGCGUCUGUGAGCGCAGACGGGGUUUCCUCUGCAGUGAGGCGCACCGCAGGGUUUAAAUACAGCUUCUGUUCAGGCGAGCUGCUCAGAGUUUUUCUGUUUCUGUGCGAACGCUCUCAUCAGGCUCUCUCGAUUUCCUCUGUCAGCGCUGCAGAGGCGCCUCGUUGGCUACGGCGGCGUGGAGAAAUGAGGACAGUCUAAAACAGCUGCGAGAGCUUCACCACAUCCUUCUCACUGCAGCCGCAGCUCAGCCAGAGAGCGCCGCUUUCUCACAGUAAACAGAGUCUGAGGUGAGUCUGCAGAUGAUCCCUGACCAAACCUGAGCGUCACCUCUUUGUCCUCUGAGGUCGACUGACACCGAUACAUCACUGGGUGCGGAGGACACUGACUACACUCACAUUUAGCCUGCUUGCAUCCCGCGGUGCUCGGCUUCUCCGGCUGCUCCUCUCCUCGCGCCGCAGCCCGGAUCUUCCUCGCCACGUACCGGCAGGCUGCAAACAGAACGACACAAACACGAACGCUGAAGCUUCAAACAUGUCAGCAGGAUGGUGGGUAUUAUGGGAUGGCAUCGUCUCCUUUCCUGUCAUAGAGAUCCUCCUGAGUCUCCUGCUGAGUGAGCAGAGUCUGUUCAUUUUCAUUACUGCCAGGGUCAUGGUGGGGGCGGAGCCUAUCACAGGUGUCAUAAG
ensembl:lncRNA